AGAGCGAACGCUGGCGGCAGGCCUAAUACAUGCAAGUCGAGCGGUCCCUUCGGGGGCAGCGGCGGACGGGUGAGUAACGCGUGGGAACGUGCCCUUUGGUACGGAACAACUGAGGGAAACUUCAGCUAAUACCGUAUGUGCCCUUCGGGGGAAAGAUUUAUCGCCAUUGGAGCGGCCCGCGUUGGAUUAGGUAGUUGGUGAGGUAAAGGCUCACCAAGCCUACGAUCCAUAGCUGGUCUGAGAGGAUGAUCAGCCACACUGGGACUGAGACACGGCCCAGACUCCUACGGGAGGCAGCAGUAGGGAAUCUUGCGCAAUGGGCAAAGCCUGACGCAGCCAUGCCGCGUGAAUGAUGAAGGUCUUAGGAUUGUAAAAUUCUUUCACCGGGGA
rnacentral:rRNA from 1 species